UUCAUUUAGGAUUGUUGCAUAUGC
rnacentral:siRNA from 1 species